AGAGAGAGAGAGAGAGUCUAUUGAAACCUGAUUGAUCGACUGAUCAGCCUAGUGGUUAGAGUGUAGAGGAGGCAGGUAGCCUAGUGGUUAGAGUGUAGAGGAGGCAGGUAGUCUAGUGGUUAGAGGAGGCAGGUAGUCUAGUGGUUAGAGUGUAGAGGAGGCAGGUAGUCUAGUGGUUAGAGUGUAGAGGAGGCAGGUAGCCUAGUGGUUAGAGUGUAGAGGAGGCAGGUAGCCUAGUGGUUAGAGUGUAGAGGAGGCAGGUAGCCUAGUGGUUAGAGUGUAGAGGUGGCAGGUAGACUAGUGGUUAGAGUGUAGAGGAGGCAGGUAGUCUAGUGGUUAGAGUGUAGAGGAGGCAGGUAGCCUAGUGGUUAGAGUGUAGAGGAGGCAGGUAGCCUAGUGGUUAGAGUGUAGAGGAGGCAGGUAGCCUAGUGGUUAGAGUGUAGAGGAGGCAGGUAGACUAGUGGUUAGAGUGUAGAGGAGGUAGGUAGACUAGUGGUUAGAGUGUAGAGGAGGCAGGUAGCCUAGUGGUUAGAGUGUAGAGGAGGUAGGUAGACUAGUGGUUAGAGUGUAGAGGAGGCAGGUAGCCUAGUGGUUAGAGUGUAGAGGAGGUAGGUAGCCUAGUGGUUAGAGUGUAGAGGAGGUAGGUAGUCUAGUGGUUAGAGUGUAGAGGAGGUAGGUAGCCUAGUGGUUAGAGUGUAGAGGAGGCAGGUAGCCUAGUGGUUAGAGUGUAGAGGAGGUAGGUAGCCUAGUGGUUAGAGUGUAGAGGAGGCAGGUAGCCUAGUGGUUAGAGUGUAGAGGAGGUAGGUAGCCUAGUGGUUAGAGUGUAGAGGAGGCAGGUAGCCUAGUGGUUAGAGUGUAGAGGAGGCAGGUAGCCUAGUGGUUAGAGUGUAGAGGAGGCAGGUAGCCUAGUGGUUAGAGUGCAGAG